rnacentral:rRNA from 1 species
GGCGGCGUGCUUAACACAUGCAAGUCGAGCGGUAAGGCCCUUCGGGGGUACACGAGCGGCGAACGGGUGAGUAACACGUGGGUGAUCUGCCCUGCACUUCGGGAUAAGCCUGGGAAACUGGGUCUAAUACCGGAUAUGACCUUCGGCUGCAUGGCUGGGGGUGGAAAGGUUUACUGGUGCAGGAUGAGCCCGCGGCCUAUCAGCUUGUUGGUGGGGUAAUGGCCUACCAAGGCGACGACGGGUAGCCGACCUGAGAGGGUGACCGGCCACACUGGGACUGAGACACGGCCCAGACUCCUACGGGAGGCAGCAGUGGGGAAUAUUGCACAAUGGGCGAAAGCCUGAUGCAGCGACGCCGCGUGAGGGAUGACGGCCUUCGGGUUGUAAACCUCUUUCAGCAGGGACGAAGCGUGAGUGACGGUACCUGCAGAAGAAGCACCGGCUAACUACGUGCCAGCAGCCGCGGUAAUACGUAGGGUGCAAGCGUUGUCCGGAAUUACUGGGCGUAAAGAGUUCGUAGGCGGUUUGUCGCGUCGUUUGUGAAAACUCACAGCUCAACUGUGAGCUUGCAGGCGAUACGGGCAGACUUGAGUACUGCAGGGGAGACUGGAAUUCCUGGUGUAGCGGUGAAAUGCGCAGAUAUCAGGAGGAACACCGGUGGCGAAGGCGGGUCUCUGGGCAGUAACUGACGCUGAGGAACGAAAGCGUGGGUAGCAAACAGGAUUAGAUACCCUGGUAGUCCACGCCGUAAACGGUGGGCGCUAGGUGUGGGUUUCCUUCCACGGGAUCCGUGCCGUAGCUCACGCAUUAAGCGCCCCGCCUGGGGAGUACGGCCGC